rnacentral:rRNA from 1 species
GAUGAACGCUGGCGGCGUGCCUAAUACAUGCAAGUCGAGCGAACGGACGAGAAGCUUGCUUCUCUGAUGUUAGCGGCGGACGGGUGAGUAACACGCGGAUAACCUACCUAUAAGACUGGGAUAACUUCGGGAAACCGGAGCUAAUACCGGAUGAUAUUUUGAACCGCAUGGUUCAAAAGUGAAAGACGGUCUUGCUGUCACUUAUAGAUGGAUCCGCGCUGCAUUAGCUAGUUGGUAAGGUAACGGCUUACCAAGGCAACGAUGCAUAGCCGACCUGAGAGGGUGAUCGGCCACACUGGAACUGAGACACGGUCCAGACUCCUACGGGAGGCAGCAGUAGGGAAUCUUCCGCAAUGGGCGAAAGCCUGACGGAGCAACGCCGCGUGAGUGAUGAAGGUCUUCGGAUCGUAAAACUCUGUUAUUAGGGAAGAACAUAUGUGUAAGUAACUGUGCACAUCUUGACGGUACCUAAUCAGAAAGCCACGGCUAGCUACGUG